AAAUUGAAGAGUUUGAUCAUGGCUCAGAUUGAACGCUGGCGGCAGGCCUAACACAUGCAAGUCGAGCGGUAACACAGGGAGCUUGCUCCCGGGUGACGAGCGGCGGACGGGUGAGUAAUGUCUGGGAAACUGCCUGAUGGAGGGGGAUAACUACUGGAAACGGUAGCUAAUACCGCAUAACGUCGCAAGACCAAAGAGGGGGACCUUCGGGCCUCUUGCCAUCAGAUGUGCCCAGAUGGGAUUAGCUAGUAGGUGGGGUAAUGGCUCACCUAGGCGACGAUCCCUAGCUGGUCUGAGAGGAUGACCAGCCACACUGGAACUGAGACACGGUCCAGACUCCUACGGGAGGCAGCAGUGGGGAAUAUUGCACAAUGGGCGCAAGCCUGAUGCAGCCAUGCCGCGUGUAUGAAGAAGGCCUUCGGGUUGUAAAGUACUUUCAGCGGGGAGGAAGGCGAUAAGGUUAAUAACCUUGUCGAUUGACGUUACCCGCAGAAGAAGCACCGGCUAACUCCGUGCCAGCAGCCGCGGUAAUACGGAGGGUGCAAGCGUUAAUCGGAAUUACUGGGCGUAAAGCGCACGCAGGCGGUCUGUCAAGUCGGAUGUGAAAUCCCCGGGCUCAACCUGGGAACUGCAUUCGAAACUGGCAGGCUAGAGUCUUGUAGAGGGGGGUAGAAUUCCAGGUGUAGCGGUGAAAUGCGUAGAGAUCUGGAGGAAUACCGGUGGCGAAGGCGGCCCCCUGGACAAAGACUGACGCUCAGGUGCGAAAGCGUGGGGAGCAAACAGGAUUAGAUACCCUGGUAGUCCACGCCGUAAACGAUGUCGACUUGGAGGUUGUGCCCUUGAGGCGUGGCUUCCGGAGCUAACGCGUUAAGUCGACCGCCUGGGGAGUACGGCCGCAAGGUUAAAACUCAAAUGAAUUGACGGGGGCCCGCACAAGCGGUGGAGCAUGUGGUUUAAUUCGAUGCAACGCGAAGAACCUUACCUACUCUUGACAUCCAGAGAACUUAGCAGAGAUGCUUUGGUGCCUUCGGGAACUCUGAGACAGGUGCUGCAUGGCUGUCGUCAGCUCGUGUUGUGAAAUGUUGGGUUAAGUCCCGCAACGAGCGCAACCCUUAUCCUUUGUUGCCAGCGGUUAGGCCGGGAACUCAAAGGAGACUGCCAGUGAUAAACUGGAGGAAGGUGGGGAUGACGUCAAGUCAUCAUGGCCCUUACGAGUAGGGCUACACACGUGCUACAAUGGCGCAUACAAAGAGAAGCGACCUCGCGAGAGCAAGCGGACCUCAUAAAGUGCGUCGUAGUCCGGAUUGGAGUCUGCAACUCGACUCCAUGAAGUCGGAAUCGCUAGUAAUCGUAGAUCAGAAUGCUACGGUGAAUACGUUCCCGGGCCUUGUACACACCGCCCGUCACACCAUGGGAGUGGGUUGCAAAAGAAGUAGGUAGCUUAACCUUCGGGAGGGCGCUUACCACUUUGUGAUUCAUGACUGGGGUGAAGUCGUAACAAGGUAACCGUAGGGGAACCUGCGGUUGGAUCACCUCCUUACCUUAAAGAA
rnacentral:rRNA from 1 species